rnacentral:rRNA from 1 species
UAGGUGCUUGCACUUGAAAGAUUUAACAUUGAGACGAGUGGCGAACUGGUGAGUAACACGUGGGUAACCUGCCCUUGAAGUAGGGGAUAACACUUGGAAACAGGUGCUAAUACCGUAUAACAACCAAAACCACCUGGUUUUGGUUUAAAAGACGGCUUCGGCUGUCACUUUAGGAUGGACCCGCGGCGCAUUAGCUUGUUGGUAAGGUAACGGCUUACCAAGGCGAUGAUACGUAGCCGACCUGAGAGGGUAAUCGGCCACAUUGGGACUGAGACACGGCCCAAACUCCUACGGGAGGCAGCAGUAGGGAAUCUUCCACAAUGGACGAAAGUCUGAUGGAGCAACGCCGCGUGAGUGAUGAAGGGUUUCGGCUCGUAAAACUCUGUUGUUGGAGAAGAACAGGUGUCAGAGUAACUGUUGACAUCUUGACGGUAUCCAACCAGAAAGCCACGGCUAACUACGUGCCAGCAGCCGCGGUAAUACGUAGGUGGCAAGCGUUGUCCGGAUUUAUUGGGCGUAAAGCGAGCGCAGGCGGUUUUUUAGGUCUGAUGUGAAAGCCUUCGGCUUAACCGGAGAAGUGCAUCGGAAACCGGGAGACUUGAGUGCAGAAGAGGACAGUGGAACUCCAUGUGUAGCGGUGAAAUGCGUAGAUAUAUGGAAGAACACCAGUGGCGAAGGCGGCUGUCUGGUCUGUAACUGACGCUGAGGCUCGAAAGCAUGGGUAGCGAACAGGAUUAGAUACCCUGGUAGUCCAUGCCGUAAACGAUGAGUGCUAAGU